rnacentral:rRNA from 1 species
GACGAACGCUGGCGGCGUGCCUAAUACAUGCAAGUAGAACGCUGAAGAGAGGAGCUUGCUCUUCUUGGAUGAGUUGCGAACGGGUGAGUAACGCGUAGGUAACCUGCCUUGUAGCGGGGGAUAACUAUUGGAAACGAUAGCUAAUACCGCAUAACAAUGGAUGACACAUGUCAUUUAUUUGAAAGGGGCAAUUGCUCCACUACAAGAUGGACCUGCGUUGUAUUAGCUAGUAGGUGAGGUAAUGGCUCACCUAGGCGACGAUACAUAGCCGACCUGAGAGGGUGAUCGGCCACACUGGGACUGAGACACGGCCCAGACUCCUACGGGAGGCAGCAGUAGGGAAUCUUCGGCAAUGGGGGCAACCCUGACCGAGCAACGCCGCGUGAGUGAAGAAGGUUUUCGGAUCGUAAAGCUCUGUUGUAAGUCAAGAACGGGUGUGAGAGUGGAAAGUUCACACUGUGACGGUAGCUUACCAGAAAGGGACGGCUAACUACGUGCCAGCAGCCGCGGUAAUACGUAGGUCCCGAGCGUUGUCCGGAUUUAUUGGGCGUAAAGCGAGCGCAGGCGGUUUGAUAAGUCUGAAGUUAAAGGCUGUGGCUCAACCAUAGUUCGCUUUGGAAACUGUCAAACUUGAGUGCAGAAGGGGAGAGUGGAAUUCCAUGUGUAGCGGUGAAAUGCGUAGAUAUAUGGAGGAACACCGGUGGCGAAAGCGGCUCUCUGGUCUGUAACUGACGCUGAGGCUCGAAAGCGUGGGGAGCGAACAGGAUUAGAUACCCUGGUAGUCCACGCCCGUAAACGAUGAGUGCUAGGUGUUGGAUCCUUUCCGGGAUUCAGUGCCGCAGCUAACGCAUUAAGCACUCCGCCUGGGGAGUACGACCGCAAGGUUGAAACUCAAAGGAAUUGACGGGGGCCCGCACAAGCGGUGGAGCAUGUGGUUUAAUUCGAAGCAACGCGAAGAACCUUACCAGGUCUUGACAUCCCGAUGCUAUUUCUAGAGAUAGAAAGUUACUUCGGUACAUCGGUGACAGGUGGUGCAUGGUUGUCGUCAGCUCGUGUCGUGAGAUGUUGGGUUAAGUCCCGCAACGAGCGCAACCCCUAUUGUUAGUUGCCAUCAUUCAGUUGGGCACUCUAGCGAGACUGCCGGUAAUAAACCGGAGGAAGGUGGGGAUGACGUCAAAUCAUCAUGCCCCUUAUGACCUGGGCUACACACGUGCUACAAUGGUUGGUACAACGAGUUGCGAGUCGGUGACGGCGAGCUAAUCUCUUAAAGCCAAUCUCAGUUCGGAUUGUAGGCUGCAACUCGCCUACAUGAAGUCGGAAUCGCUAGUAAUCGCGGAUCAGCACGCCGCGGUGAAUAAAUUCCCGGGCCU